GCUACAGGCUUAACACAUGCAAGUCGAGGGGCAGCAUGGUCUUAGCUUGCUAAGGCCGAUGGCGACCGGCGCACGGGUGAGUAACACGUAUCCAAUCUGCCGUCUACUCUUGGACAGCCUUCUGAAAGGAAGAUUAAUACAAGAUGGCAUCAUGAGUCCGCAUGUUCACAUGAUUAAAGGUAUUCCGGUAGACGAUGGGGAUGCGUUCCAUUAGAUAGUAGGCGGGGUAACGGCCCACCUAGUCUUCGAUGGAUAGGGGUUCUGAGAGGAAGGUCCCCCACAUUGGAACUGAGACACGGUCCAAACUCCUACGGGAGGCAGCAGUGAGGAAUAUUGGUCAAUGGGCGAGAGCCUGAACCAGCCAAGUAGCGUGAAGGAUGACUGCCCUAUGGGUUGUAAACUUCUUUUAUAAAGGAAUAAAGUCGGGUAUGCAUACCCGUUUGCAUGUACUUUAUGAAUAAGGAUCGGCUAACUCCGUGCCAGCAGCCGCGGUAAUACGGAGGAUCCGAGCGUUAUCCGGAUUUAUUGGGUUUAAAGGGAGCGUAGAUGGAUGUUUAAGUCAGUUGUGAAAGUUUGCGGCUCAACCGUAAAAUUGCAGUUGGUACUGGAUAUCUUGAGUGCAGUUGAGGCAGGCGGAAUUCGUGGUGUAGCGGUGAAAUGCUUAGAUAUCACGAAGAACUCCGAUUGCGAAGGCAGCCUGCUAAGCUGCAACUGACAUUGAGGCUCGAAAGUGUGGGUAUCAAACAGGAUUAGAUACCCUGGUAGUCCACACGGUAAACGAUGAAUACUCGCUGUUUGCGAUAUACAGCAAGCGGCCAAGCGAAAGCGUUAAGUAUUCCACCUGGGGAGUACGCCGGCAACGGUGAAACUCAAAGGAAUUGACGGGGGCCCGCACAAGCGGAGGAACAUGUGGUUUAAUUCGAUGAUACGCGAGGAACCUUACCCGGGCUUAAAUUGCAGAUGAAUUACGGUGAAAGCCGUAAGCCGCAAGGCAUCUGUGAAGGUGCUGCAUGGUUGUCGUCAGCUCGUGCCGUGAGGUGUCGGCUUAAGUGCCAUAACGAGCGCAACCCUUGUUGUCAGUUACUAACAGGUUCCGCUGAGGACUCUGACAAGACUGCCAUCGUAAGAUGUGAGGAAGGUGGGGAUGACGUCAAAUCAGCACGGCCCUUACGUCCGGGGCUACACACGUGUUACAAUGGGGGGUACAGAGGGCCGCUACCACGCGAGUGGAUGCCAAUCCCAAAAACCUCUCUCAGUUCGGACUGGAGUCUGCAACCCGACUCCACGAAGCUGGAUUCGCUAGUAAUCGCGCAUCAGCCACGGCGCGGUGAAUACGUUCCCGGGCCUUGUACACACCGCCCGUCAAGCCAUGGGAGCCGGGGGUACCUGAAGUGCGUAACCGCGAGGAGCGCCCUAGGGUAAAACUGGUGACUGGGGCUAA
rnacentral:rRNA from 1 species